rnacentral:rRNA from 1 species
GACGAACGCUGGCGGUGUGCCUAAUACAUGCAAGUAGAACGCUGAAGGAGGAGCUUGCUUCUCCGGAUGAGUUGCGAACGGGUGAGUAACGCGUAGGUAACCUGCCUGGUAGCGGGGGAUAACUAUUGGAAACGAUAGCUAAUACCGCAUAAGAGUAGAUGUUGCAUGACAUUUGCUUAAAAGGUGCAAUUGCAUCACUACCAGAUGGACCUGCGUUGUAUUAGCUAGUUGGUGGGGUAACGGCUCACCAAGGCGACGAUACAUAGCCGACCUGAGAGGGUGAUCGGCCACACUGGGACUGAGACACGGCCCAGACUCCUACGGGAGGCAGCAGUAGGGAAUCUUCGGCAAUGGGGGGAACCCUGACCGAGCAACGCCGCGUGAGUGAAGAAGGUUUUCGGAUCGUAAAGCUCUGUUGUAAGAGAAGAACGGGUGUGAGAGUGGAAAGUUCACACUG